CCAGGAAAGAAAGGAAGGAAUGCUAACCAAUCCAACUUCCUGGAACUUAUCACUUCUCCAGAAGUUGUGGUAUUUAGAAUCGCUUGUGUAAGAAGUAAUAAAAACCUGGCAGGCUGGUACCUGUUAAGCUGCUGACAUAUGUUGCCCAUGCAGUCUGUAGGCUGCUUCUGUGUUCGUUCAGGGAGGCUAGGUUAGUUACACAGCCCUGGUGCUAGCAAAACAAAGUAGAGUUUGGGAAAAAAAAAUCAACUCUGACCUCAGUACCACCUCCUUUUCUCUCAAUUUCUGACCAUGGGUGCUGCAACUUCCGUUUGGAGGCAGAUGCUGGCUUCUGGGAUGACAUCAGCUUGGUGCUUUGAAGUGCUUUGCUUGUCUCUUCUCAUAUGGCUGUUUUUUCCACACAAGUUUCCUAGCUAUGGAGCUUCUUUGCUUUAGUUUCCUUUCCUAUUUUGACCUAAAUCUGUGUUCUUUGUUCUUCACUGGCACUCAGAGACUCAGCAUCCUGCUUCUCUGAUGUGAUUCAGGUGUAAAUGUACAGAGUUUGAGAGGAGGAGUGAAGAUCUCUACAGCAAAUGCUCCCAAAAGGUAUUUCUGAGAAGGUGGCUUACUGAGUACUUAUCACACAGAUCCUGCCCAUCUCCAUGUGAAUAGUUUAGGAGAGACAUAUCCAAGUUCCAGCUCCAGGAACCAAUUGAGAAUAAUGGGAACUAGGCCUGUGAAGGGGAAGAAGACCAGUGGGAGGUUGGUGAGCACACUAGGAGAUGGAACCUAUGGACUGGCAGGGGGAGGAGGAGGUGGAACUUUCCACUAAGCUGAGCAAUUUAAAGGCUCCAAGCUUGGAACGUCUCCUUGGCUUUGUGACUGAGGAAAAUGACUCCUCAGGCAGCCUUUUCAGUGUCCAUUCUGCCUUCCCCCUGAGAUUUAUGAAAGGCUCUGGCUGCCUGGUGCUUCCUUCUCUCCUUCACACCACUGUUGUGCACUUACUCUUUUUUGUACUUCUUUACUGUCCUUACCUCGGAAUAUGCUGUCUGCCGUGUUGAAAUGGAAGCUUACCACAUAUUAAUGGUUACUUAGUGUUCUAUUAUAUGGAGGGACUGUAAUUUGCAUAAAUAAACUCCUAUGUCUGGGUAGUUGUAUUAUUUCAAUUGUUUGGUUCUUACUCUUAUAUAUGUGUCAAGGAAGACAAAAAUGUUAUUUUAAGAGAUAGUUGCUAGGUUUUUCUGGGUGUGGCUGGAAUAGGCUGGAUGAGUCAAUUGGAUAGCUAAACUGUUCUUCAUAAGAAAUAAGAUUUGGGGGAGGAGAGGGUAAAUGAGCUGGGGGAGAGAGAAGAGGGUUGGAAGAUUGAGGAGUCCCCAGCACAGCCAGAACCGAAGCCUAAGGAACAUAGAGUGUAGGAGUAGAGGAGGCUUUGUCAGGGGCGGGGUGUCAGGUUGGCUGUGCGCUGCAGCCUUGUGCCUCUGUGGCCUCACACCUGCAGCAGAGCCUGCUAUUGCAAACCUAGGGAGGGAAGGGAUUGGGAGGUGCCCUGCAGUGGAGGCUGACAUGAUGCAAAAAGAAACACUGGGAAUGAAGAAUGCAGCAAUAAUACGUACUUGAAACCAGAGGUACUAGAAACAAUAUAAGCAACUCCCCACCCCCACCCAAUACAUACCUGUGGUUCUCCACAGGCAUUGGGAGAGGGACUGGGUUUCAGGAGAUAUAAGGAUUCAGGAGAUUUUGUACUUGCAGUGCUACUUCCCUAUAUCACAUUUCUUCCAAUCCACCUCAAUCUCUUCUUAUUUGGGGUCACUAUGUCAGAAAAGCUUUUCCUUUUCAUGAGAAAGUUUUCAGGAGGCCUUCAGUGAGUGGGGAUAAACUGCUGACCUAACCCUAAUUCCACGUAUAAGGGCUGAACUUGGCCAAGAGGGUGGCCUGAAGGACCAGGUUCAUAGCCUUUGUAUCAAUUAUGAGGCUGGACUGUGGUGAGAUAAAGUUCAACUUACAGGAGCUUAUAAAAAAGAGGGAGAAAUGAUUAGCUGAUUUAAAUUAAAGUCCUAGGGUAGGAUAGGCUUUAAGAUACACUUCAUCUUGUCUCUCCUUUGAUUGUCAUUCAAGGGUUCAGAAACUGGCUGCAGAUGUUCCUGGCCUGGCAUGUAUACAAAGCAACCCCCUGAGCGGGAAGAGAGGACAUCUCCCCAGACGUUUCUCUUGAGUGGAAACUUUUCCCAGAAGCCCCCGGAAACCUCUCAUUGGUUACAUGUUCAUUCUUAAAUCAGUCUCUGUUCUCAAUGGCUUAGAUGGAUCCUGAACCAGACAAGAGAUAUGGGAUCACCACGACUGAGUAGAGCAGGGAGGGGGGAGAAUGGAUGUUAGGGAGACAGUCUCAGUAUAGGCCGGGCUGCCCUCUCCAUCUCUGAUACCGUAUGAUAGGAUCUCACCAAUUAAAUACAACUUUCUUUACCUCCUCUCUCUGAUUCCAGGCCUCUAAGAUAAAGUGGUGGCAAUUAAGCUUAGUUUAUUACUCUCCAAGCCCACUACUAUUUUCUGACCCCAAUAAGUGUUAGUUUCUAGAACUCCUUAGAUUCUCAGCGUCAAAAUGGUUGUCCAGAAAUUCCCAUUGUCUCGAAAACUUACCAAACAUUUUUAACCCCAUGAACACCACUCUCCAUCCUCUAUGUUCCUGGUUGUCUCUGGGGUGUUGCCAUGACAAUCCUAUGCCCAUUCCUCCAUGAAGACUAUAGUUUGAUAACUACAAGAGGAUAGAAGCACUUCAAUGUUGCUAGAUAUUAGCAAUUGCCUUUAAAAGAGGUUGCACCAAUUUACACUCCCACAAAGAAGAAAUGAGUGCUUGUUUCCUAACACAUCCCUGUCAACACUGUGUACCAUCAAGCUUUGUGAUCAGUGUGAAUUUUAUAGGUUGAAAACUGAAAUUAUUAAUUUUGUUAUAAUCUUGCUCAGCUACAGUACAUCUUCAAGUGAUUUGUGUGUAUGUAAAGAACCCCUGCCUGAAAUAUUUUCUAAACCCUUGUAUAUCUAGGACUAUCUAUUGUCUACAUGCAUGAAUGACAAACCCAAAAGUCCUGGGCUUGCAGAAUAACUGUAUCUUGGUUGUUGAAGACAUUUGUGAGAUUAGGCUGAUUUUUAUCUUUGUACAUAACUUGAUACUGUUAUGCAUCCUUGAAAAUUCUGGGGCCUUUUUCUUAUCUAGACUUUUCCCAGAAUUUAUUUAUUUUAGGUAUAAAAGUGUGUGUGUGUGUGUGGUUGUGUGUGUGUACACACUAGUUUCCCUCAGGAACAUUUCCUCAUAUUUUAGUUUUAUUAUUGCCACUGUCCUUUCUAUUUUCUUCUUCAGAAAAAUCUCAGUUUUCAUAAAUUAUACCUGGAUUGCUGUUUUCUGUGGCAAUUUGUCAUUUUAUAUCUGGUGCACUUUUUCUUUACUAACUCUUCUAGCAUAACACAUACCCUUCUUAUACAUCUUAAAACUUAUUAAUAAAACACUACAGCAUUUUGGUUAUUUACUCACAAAUUUCAUUACAAAGACAUUUAAAAAUUUUAUUCUUUGGAGUCAUGCAUUUAAUAAGUACAACGACAAGACGCUUGCAAAGGCAUUCAGUUGUCCAUAACUAAAUACAAGUUUUGAAGCAUAUAAGCAGAUUUCCCACAGAGCCCUUCUUUGUGACAGUCUAGGUUACAUGCACAAUUCUUAUAUAAACAUAUCGAAGUGAGGGAUUAAAGGCCAAUAUGGGUGACAUGUGUUUAACAUUAUACAUUGUACCAAUUAUGAACUUUAUUUCAAGAUUAAGUAAUUAAAUGUUAGAUAGCCACACAAUUCUUGCAAACAAUCAUUCCUUGCUUCUUAUAUACCAUUGUCAACAUUUAUAAAUAAAAGACUGGCUUUCACGAAUCACUAGAGUAGAUAAUUGUCGGUGAAUUGGCCAGAGCAAUCAUGUGGAAACCAAACCCAGAUGAACUCUAGUGUAUUUCAUAGCUGGAACAUAGCAGAUGGUCUAAAACAGCAGUUCUUCAUCUUGUUGCACAUUGGAACCACUUCAAGACAGUGCCCACUUCAAGCACAUCCAACAGUUCUGGACAUACUGACCAUGCUAACAGCUACCAACCUGUACAAUGCAUAUGCCCUUUGAUAUAGCAGUUACAUUUCCAGGAAUCUGCUCUAUAGACAUACUUGCAUGCAUGCACAAAGAUUUAUUUUCAAGAUGUUUAUUCAUCCAACAAUAUACACAUAUUCAGGGGCAGCGCUGUUCUAAUUGCUGGAGAUAGUAAAGUGCCUGUUCUGAGAUUACCGUCAAUGGGAAGAAAUAGGUAAUAAACACAGGUAGAUAUACUGGAAAGGUAACAAAAGGUUAUAAUUGUUAGGCAGGAAAUUCAAAUAUGGUACCCACUGAGACCCUUGGGAACUUCUCCUUCUCACACAGGACUAGGAAGACACUAUUUUCGGCUUCUGUCUGCUUUGACUUCCCAUGUUAUUUCCACUCUACUGUCGAAGCCCAUGACGGGGAAGAACCCCUGUGAGUGUCUCCCCCUAAAGUUCCAGGAGAGAGUGGGACUAUAUCAUGGGAAGCAAGGAAAUCUUUCUUAUUCCUACACUAUCCCAACCUUAUCUGUGGUUUUUAAAAAUAUAUAUUUAUUUUUAUUCUGGUAAAACACACAUAAUAAAAUUUACCGUUGUAAUCAUUUUAAAGCACACAAUUCUGUGUUAUUAAAUACAUUUACACUGUUGUGCAACCAUCACAAUCUAUCUCCUGAAUGUUUUCAUCGUCCCAAAUUAAAAAUUCAUACCUAUUAUAACACUAACUCCCCAUUUUCCUCACCCCCAGCCCCUGACAAUCACUGUUCUGCUUUGUGUCUCUAUGAAUUCAAUUAUUCUAGUACAUCAUAAAAGUGGAAUAUUACAGUAUCCAUUCUUUUGUGUCUAGCUUAUUUCACUUUGUAUAAUGUCCUCAAGAUUUAUCCAGGUUGUAGUAUAUGUCAUAUUUUUCUUCCUUUUUAGGCCUGAAUAUUAUAUGUGUUUGUAUAAAUCACAUUUUGCUUAGCUAUUUAUCCUCAGGUGGACAUUUGGGUUGGUUUCAACUCUUGGCUGUUUUAAUAGUGCUGUUAUGCUGUUAGGAACAUGGGAGUACAAAUAUGUCUUUGAGGCCAUGCUUUCAAUUAUUUUGGAAAUGUGUCCAGAAGUGGGAUUGUUAGAUUAUAUAGUAAUUCUACUUUUAAUUUUUAUUUUUGUUUCAGGAACUACCAUACCAUUUUCCACAGCAGCUAUGCCAAUUUACAUUCCCACCAACAGGAAAAAUGAUUCAAAUUUCUCCACAUCCUCAUCAACAAUUAUUAUUUUCUGUGUGUUUUUUUAAAAUAUAUUUUAUUGAUUUUUUUUACAGAGAGGAAGGGAGAGAGAUAGAGAGUUAGAAACACCGAUGAGAGAGAAACAUCGAUCAGCUGCCUCCUGCACAUCCCUACUGGGGAUGUGCCCACAACCAAGGUACACGCUCUUGACUGGAAUCCAACCUGGGACCCUUCAGUCCACAGGCCGACGCUCUAUCCACUGAGCCAAACCAGCCAGGGCCUGUGU